rnacentral:rRNA from 1 species
UACGUAGGGGGCAAGCGUUGUCCGGAUUUAUUGGGCGUAAAGCGCACGCAGGCGGUCUUGUAAGUUGCGAGUGACAGGUGGUGGCUUAACUGCCACAGGCCUUGGAAAACUGCAAGACUUGAGGACUUCAGAGGGAUGCGGAAUUCCAGGUGGAGCGGUGAAAUGCGUAGAUAUCUGGAGGAACACCGGUGGCGAAGGCGGCAUCCUGGACCGACACUGACGCUGAGGAGCGAAAGCCAGGGGAGCAAACGGGG